rnacentral:rRNA from 1 species
AGUGAACGCUGGCGGUAGGCCUAACACAUGCAAGUCGAACGGCAGCACAGUAAGAGCUUGCUCUUACGGGUGGCGAGUGGCGGACGGGUGAGGAAUACAUCGGAAUCUACUUUUUCGUGGGGGAUAACGUAGGGAAACUUACGCUAAUACCGCAUACGACCUACGGGUGAAAGCAGGGGAUCUUCGGACCUUGCGCGAUUGAAUGAGCCGAUGUCGGAUUAGCUAGUUGGCGGGGUAAAGGCCCACCAAGGCGACGAUCCGUAGCUGGUCUGAGAGGAUGAUUCGGCACACUGGAACUGGGACAACGUCCAGGCCCCCUCGGGGGGCCGCAGGUGGGAAUUUUGGACCAUGGGCGGAAGCCUUAUCCAGCCAUACCGGGUGGGUUAAGGAGGCCUUCCGGUUGUAAAGCCCUUUUGUUGGGAAAGAAAAGCAGCAGGUUAAUACCCCGCUGUUCUGACGGUACCCAAAGAAUAAGCACCGGCUAACUUCGUG